AAUAUACGCCCCCCUUUUUGCUGCAUGUGUGACGCUAGGGCUCGUCGAUUGAGACUAUUUAAGCGCUGAGCGCGGUAUUGCGUGUAGUCUUCGUUUCCUGCUGCUCAGCGCCGACGGAAAUACCACUGCCAAUGUUCUAACGGUGACUCCUACCAAGAAGCAAGACCCUGCCAGUGACGAGGACUCUCCUGCACCAGUGGAUGAGGACUUGCUCCGACAGAUGGCAUCCCUCUGUACGCUACUCGUGCAGCAGCUUUGGUAACAGCAGCCCAGCCGUCCCUGGACCCUCCGCUCUAACGGACUCGGCCGUUGCUUUCACGUCAGUGGUCCCAGGACGCUGGCCAACGCAGCGUCAGACUUCUCCGGCCGACCGUGACACUGCCCAGUCUAGUCGCUCCAACAGCGUGGCAACCUGGACGGUACUGGUGUACACAAGCCUAGGCUAUUCCUCCCGUACGCGCUGGAGGAAUCCGCUCUACCACUGAGGGACGACGCUCCUGUUUCUAUCCCCGAGCCCUUCUGCGGGGUCUGUCUUGGAAGACUGGCAUCCCUCCGAACUGCCACCAACCCUAACUAGGAAGGACGUCCACGACUGUGCCAGACCUGGUCCAUCCCGAAACCCACCGUAUACAGGCGCUCAGCGAGAGACUUCGUGCUGCGGCUCACCAGCAAUUCCCUUAAACCCGGACUUGGACCUCGGCUAUACGUAUCAUCGCUCUUUUUGCUCUUCAGCAGCUGGUUCGACCACUGAUAUCUCGGGAUCCAGAAGACGUGAUUUUGGACUUACCAGAUUUGCCGGACAUUUAAGAGUGGUGUAAGUGUCGGGAGAUAAGACGCGAGAUGCUGAUAAUAAAAGCGUUAUCGUGA